UUCUUUCGCCGCGCACGCGCGAAAAACAGCUCGCUCUUGUACAAGUGCGUAGUGAGUGCCGGUACCGGUUUCUUGUGAUCUCUACGCGUCUUCACCACAAAAUCGUAUUACUUAGUGUAAAGCAGAAAGAAAACGUUAAAAGUUUUGUGUUGCCUCAUCUUUUAUUUCUGUCUGGAUUUUCUUUGCAUAGAAU